GAUGAACGCUAGCUACAGGCUUAACACAUGCAAGUCGAGGGGCAGCAUGUCGGUUGCUUGCAACCGAUGAUGGCGACCGGCGCACGGGUGAGUAACGCGUAUCCAACCUACCCUUGUCCAUCGGAUAACCCGUCGAAAGGCGGCCUAACACGAUAUGCGGUUCUCAGCAGGCAUCUAACGAGAACGAAAUGUGAAGGAGAAGGAUGGGGAUGCGUCUGAUUAGCUUGUUGGCGGGGUAACGGCCCACCAAGGCGACGAUCAGUAGGGGUUCUGAGAGGAAGGUCCCCCACAUUGGAACUGAGACACGGUCCAAACUCCUACGGGAGGCAGCAGUGAGGAAUAUUGGUCAAUGGACGGAAGUCUGAACCAGCCAAGUAGCGUGCAGGAUGACGGCCCUAUGGGUUGUAAACUGCUUUUAUGUGGGAAUAAAGUGAGGGACGUGUCCCUUUUUGUAGGUUACCACAUGAAUAAGGACCGGCUAAUUCCGUG
rnacentral:rRNA from 1 species